rnacentral:rRNA from 1 species
GAUGAACGCUGGCGGCGUGCCUAAUACAUGCAAGUCGAGCGAACAGAUGAUGAGCUUGCUCCUCUGACGUUAGCGACGGACGGUUGAGUAACACGUGGAUAACCUACCUAUAAGACUGGGAUAACUUCGGGAAACCGGAGCUAAUACCUGAUAAUAUAUUAAACCUCAUUUUUCAAUAGUGAAGAACGGUUUUACUGUCACUUAUAGAUGUAUCCGCUCGGCAUUAGCUAGUUGGGAAGGUAACGGCUGUCAAAGGCAACGAUGCGUGGCCGACCUGGGAGGGUGAUCGGCAACAUUGGAACGGAGCAACGGUCAAGACUCCUCGGGGAGGAAGAAGUAGGGAACCUUCGGAAAUGGGCGAAAGCCUGACGGAGAAACGCGGCGUGAGUGAUGAAGGUCUCAGGACCGUAAAACUCUGUUAUUAGGGAAGACAAAAUGUGUAAGUAAAUAUGCACGUCUUGACGGUACCUAAUCAGAAAGCCACGGCUAACUACGUG